rnacentral:rRNA from 1 species
AUUGAACGCUGGCGGCAGGCCUAACACAUGCAAGUCGAGCGGAUGAGUGGAGCUUGCUCCAUGAUUCAGCGGCGGACGGGUGAGUAAUGCCUAGGAAUCUGCCUGGUAGUGGGGGACAACGUUUCGAAAGGAACGCUAAUACCGCAUACGUCCUACGGGAGAAAGCAGGGGACCUUCGGGCCUUGCGCUAUCAGAUGAGCCUAGGUCGGAUUAGCUAGUAGGUGAGGUAAUGGCUCACCUAGGCGACGAUCCGUAACUGGUCUGAGAGGAUGAUCAGUCACACUGGAACUGAGACACGGUCCAGACUCCUACGGGAGGCAGCAGUGGGGGAAUAUUGGACAAUGGGCGAAAGCCUGAUCCAGCCAUGCCGCGUGUGUGAAGAAGGUACUUCGGAUUGUAAACUGCUUUUGUACGGAACGAAAGGUUGUCUUAAUACGAUGAGCUCAUGACGGUACCGUAAGAAUAAG